UCUCCGUAGGUGAACCUGCGGAGGGAUCAUUACUGAGUGAGGGCUCCGUCCCGACCUCCAACCCCAUGUGAACCGAAACCUGUUGCUUCGGGGGCGACCCUGCCAUCGUGCGAGGCGCCCCCGGAGGCUCAUUAAACACUGCAUCUCUGCGUCGGAGUCUUAAUGAAUUUAAACAAAACUUUGAACAACGGAUCUCUUGGUUCUGGCAUCGAUGAAGAACGAGC
rnacentral:misc_RNA from 1 species